AAAAUAUUCUUGCACAACAAAAAUGUUAGAACUAGGUCAGGACCGAGAGGUAGCAGCCUUAAUAACCUCUUUUUGUGUGUGCUUUUUAUUUUCAAUAA
rnacentral:SRP_RNA from 1 species